UUUGGUAUGGAGAUGGAGGAAGCCGAAUUGAAAGGAAAGACAUGACUGUUCUACAUAUCCAAAGAUGGUGGCUUCCAUCACCUUAGGUACCAAAAACUAGUCUUUCUGAUACCAGAAGAAAGAGGCUGGGUCAUUAGGGAAGGGUGGUAUGCAAGUAUUCAAGGCUGGCAAAUCUAUCAAUGAAAAUGUGUUGCUUGAAAUACCUGUACCAGCAGUUCUUAAAGAUGCACAUGCAAAGGCACUUGAUUAAAUGGUGAAAACAGAGUUUUGGUAUGGAGGAAGCCGAACCGAAUGGAGAGACACGAGUGUGCCGUAUAGUAAAAGAUGGCGGAUGGAUGGAAUAGAUGCCUGAUCAGCAUGCUUGGCUCACUUGAUCAUCAUUAUUCUUAACUGAGAAGUGAGCCAAGCAUGUUGAUCUGACAUUUGUUCUUCCGAAUAGAAUCAAGGUUAUAGGUUGGGAGCAUUGUGAUUGAUUUGAAAUUUGGUUGGGAGCAUAGUAAAAGACGGUAGCUUAGCUUCCAUUACCUCAGUCCAGUCUUUUGGUGAGCUUGGAAAAUUGGAACCCUUAUCUGAAGAAAGGAAGAGCAAAAAUGACGAAGAGAAAUGGAUUUGUUACUGUCUCCUACGAACUAUAUGGUUGAGCUAGUUCCUGUUAAGCUAAACAAUGCCAAUGGUAGAAUCUUUGAGGGAAUUCUUCAGCCUGAUAUGUAGGUUGUGACACCCUCCAAUUUGUGGGACUGGGGUGCACUUCGGGAGUUGAUACUUGAUACCAAAGACGGGUGUAAGAAAUUCACUUCUUGUUGCCCCUAUGCCAACUGCAUCUACCAGUCAAAUUCUAGGCAACAAUGAGUGUUUUGAACCAUAUACUUCUAAUAUCUACAAUCGCAGAGCUGAGUGGUGAAUUUGUUGUAGUGAACCGGCAUCUUCUUCGUGACUUGACUGAAAUGGGACCGCGGAAUCCUGCACUUAAGAAUAAGAUUAUCUACGACAAUGGUUCAGUACAUAAUCUCUCAGAAAUACCCAUCGCAGUGAAACUCAUAUACAAGUAUGAGAGAAACUUAACUCUACAUAGACCAGAGUCAAAGCUUAAAUAUACACAUCGAUAAAGCCAACUUUGGAAAGCUUACUUCCUUGCAUUUCUAUGCCUGGUCCAAGGGUUUGAAAACUGGUAUGUACUACCUCCAAACUCGAGCUGCGAGUGAUGCCAUCAAAAUUACCGUUGAUAUGUCUACCAUUAAAGUAAUUAGACUUUGUUGUGGUCGAUCUUUCCAUUGAUGUGAUUUGUAGUUUGUACAGUUUGAAAUUAAAUGUUUUAGUUGUGAAUGCAUGAACAAUCUAAGGAUGAGGAGCCAGAUGGAGAUGAUGAUACCAAGAUGGCGCAGAUGGUGUGCUCUUUGACAAACAGAGAUGAUUGCUUGACCUGUGGAAGUUGAUCCCUACACCUUGUAAGAUUUGCACCUAUCUGCAAUACCAUGUGAAAGCAGGAUUUGGAUCUCUCCAAUUUUCCCUCAUGUUUUCUCUCCUUUUUCUUAUCCAAGGGUACCAUGUGAAAGCAGGAUUUGGAUCUCUCUAAUUUUCCCUCAUGUUUUCUCUCCUUUUUCUUAUCCAAGGGUUGAUUUUCUCUCCUUUUUAUUCUUUGUAAUUUACCAACCCUUAGAUUAAGAAAAAAAAGAGAAAACAUGAGGGAAAAUUAGAGAGGAUCGAAAUCCGUGAAAGCAUUGGUGUCUACAUUCAAAUGCCAAUCCAUACCCUAAAAUCUUCAAGAUUUCUGACAUGUCUCGAGUGCUUUGUAUAGAAUUUACUUUGUUGUUAAUUUAAUUUGCCUUCAUUGCUUGAUCAUGUAUUAUUGUAUUGCAUGUUAGGAAGUGUUCACUUUAAGGUAUAAAUUUAUAUUUGAGAAAGGUGGGAAUGAUCAUGAAGUUAAGGAGA